rnacentral:rRNA from 1 species
GAGGAAUAUUGGUCAAUGGGCGAGAGCCUGAACCAGCCAAGUCGCGUGAGGGAAGACGGCCCUAUGGGUUGUAAACCUCUUUUAGAUGGGAGUAAAGUGUUCUACGCGUAGGAUAUUGCAAGUACCAUCAGAAUAAGCAUCGGCUAAUUCCGUGCCAGCAGCCGCGGUAAUACGGAAGAUGCGAGCGUUAUCCGGAUUUAUUGGGUUUAAAGGGUGCGUAGGCGGGUGAUUAAGUCAGCGGUGAAAUGCGUCAGCUUAACUGGCGAACUGCCAUUGAAACUGGUUGCCUUGAGUGUAGCGGAAGUAUGCGGAAUGCGUGGUGUAGCGGUGAAACGCAUAGAUAUCACGCAGAACUCCGAUUGCGAAGGCAGCAUACCAUACUAUAACUGACGCUGAAGCACGAAAGCGUGGGUAUCGAAC